GGGUUGUGAGGUUAAGCGACUAAGCGUACACGGUGGAUGCCCUGGCAGUCAGAGGCGAUGAAGGACGUGCUAAUCUGCGAUAAGCGUCGGUAAGGUGAUAUGAACCGUUAUAACCGGCGAUUUCCGAAUGGGGAAACCCAGUGUGAUUCGUCACACUAUCAUUAACUGAAUCCAUAGGUUAAUGAGGCGAACCGGGGGAACUGAAACAUCUAAGUACCCCGAGGAAAAGAAAUCAACCGAGAUUCCCCCAGUAGCGGCGAGCGAACGGGGAGCAGCCCAGAGCCUGAAUCAGUGUGUGUGUUAGUGGAAGCG
rnacentral:rRNA from 1 species